rnacentral:rRNA from 1 species
UACAGAGGGUGCGAGCGUUAAUCGGAAUUACUGGGCGUAAAGCGUGCGUAGACGGCUAUCUAAGUCGGGUGUGAAAGCCCCGGGCUCAACCUGGGAAUUGCAUUCGAGACUGCAUGGCUAGGAUGCGGAAGAGGGAAGCGGAAUUCCGGUGUAGCGGUGAAAUGCGUAGAUAUCGGAAGGAACACCAGUGGCGAAAGCGGCUUCCUGGUCCAGCAUCGACGUUCAGGCACGAAAGCGAUGGGGAGCAAACAGG